AGUCACAUCCUAAACCUGAUAGAGCACUUAAUUGACAAAGAACAAGAAACUAAAUUUGUAUUAGGAGCUAAAAAAUGUUGCUUUACUGACAAGUUAAUGUUUAAGACAAUAAAUAUUUCAGAUUUAGUAGGAAUACUUUCUUUUCCUCUCCCACUUCUAGAAUAGGAGGUGAUUUCAUCUCAAUGCAUUUAAACUUCACAUUGCUGGACCUCAAGAAGAUUCAAGAUGGCACAGGCCAGAAGGAAUUAUCUAAUGGGAGGCUGGGACCUGGUUCUCUGUUGGACUAAGGAUUCAGGUUACAGCUUAAGUGCUGUGUAUGCAUUCCUUUUACACCUGGAGUGACAAUAAGAAAUACUUGCUAAUUCACCAAAAGGAAGAGUCAUCCAAUUGCCAAUUUACUUACUUUCAACUUUUUAAUUAAAGCAUAAUAGUUAUCAUUCAUAUACUAAACUACAAAAUAUAAAUGUACAGUUUCAUGAAUUUGUGUGUGUAUGUAGUGAAUACUCCUACAUAACCACCACAAAGAUCAAAAUGUACAAUACUGACAUCACUGUAAAAACAUUCCCCAUGCCUUCUGCAGUCAUCACAUAUCCCAUGGUAACCACAGUUCUGAUUUCUACCACCAUCUGAUAGUUCUGUCCACUGCUGAACUUCAUUUACCUGGGUUUGAAGGUAAAUGAAGUUCAUAUCUAGCUUCUUUCAUGUGACGUUAUAUCUUUUAGGAUCUUAAGCAUAAUAGUAUUCAUUAUUGCUACAUAUAUAAUGUAUACAUAUAUACAUUUUAUGUAUAUAUUAAAAUGUAUCCAUUAGUAUCUUUAUGGACUUCUGGGAUGUUUCAAGUUUUUUAAGCUAUUAUGAACAGUAUUCUGAACAUUCUUGCAAAUGUCUUUUGGUGUACAUACAUACACGGUUCUUCCAGGUAGAAUCUAAACAUGGAAUUUUGAAGUCAUAGAUGUUCAGUUGUCAAUGUGAGGGUUCCAGUUGCUGCACAUACUUGUCAACACUUGGUUUUGUCUAAACCAUUCGAAAAAAUUAUGAUCCAAAGACCUGAAUGAAAGAGGAAAUCACAACAAAACCAGGUAAAUAAGACUGAUGAUCAUGCUGUUAAGGGGUAGGCUUUUCUAACAAGUUCCAAAUUGAAUAAGAGACAAAUAAAAAAGCAGUCAAGCCUCAAUUAUCUGCAUUAACUGGGGUUUGUGAGAAUGGACAGUGAAAGGAAAAAGAUAAUGCAUCCUGAUUUGCUGUCUUAAAUCUCAUGGCAGAGGUUAAAAAAAAAAAAAAGAAAAACAGUAGCAAACAGGGGCAUUUGGAAUGACAGUGAUGACGGAUAGGGGCGGUCUCUGGGAAAAGCCUAGUUAUAGUUAUUCAAACUGUUCUUUGGGUCUCUUAGAAAACUACCAUUGUUUAUAGCUUUUUAACUUCAAAGGAAAGGAGCUGUAAAAAGUUGUUGUCAACAGAAGUCCAAUUUGCUUGAUAUGAUGAGGGGGUUGCUUGACAAUGCACACCUUUUGUCAAAAGGAUUUGUCACACAAAGAUAGGAAAUUUAAGGAACCAUCUUAUUUCCAUAAAAGACUGGGAGGCAGGAGAAACCAUGUAGACAAAAAGGGAAGGGGAAGCCCCCUCUUGAACCUCAGGUUCAGUUUCCUCUUAUGGGUGGAAGAGACAAGGAACAGUGAGGAAGACUAUAACCUCCCAUUCUGAACGGGGAGAAGGUGGAGGGAAAGCACUGGGGUCAAUGGAGUUAGAGCAAUGUGCUCAGGUCACUGAAGGUUGCUUCUAACCCAGGAGGAUAUUUUUGAACUGUUGCUUCAAAGACAGUCUCACGUUUUUGAACCCCACUGGCCUUGAGUAGCCCUCUAAUAUUUGCAUUUCUCUAUCCCCUAGGGAGGCUCUUUCUCCAUUUAAAGAUCUCUCCCAACUGCCUAUGUUCAUCAGUAUUUGGAGACUGGCAAUUGUAAGAGUGUUAAGAGGCCAUCUUUGUUAGCAUUUGAAAUUUCUUUGCCCAUGUGUAAGGCUAUUGAUAAGUCAAAUUCUGAAACUGUAUAUGGGGUAUUAUUUAAAGUACUCUUUUGAUAUUUUAUCUUUCUUUGUAUGAUAGAGAAAGAAAAGCAAGUGUUACCAAAAUCUAUUUCCUGUAAAAAAAUUACUUUGAUGACCACAUACACACAGUAUUUGCUUUUUGAUUGUUGGUAUUUCUUGCCUUAUUAGAAAGAAGCAAUCCAGCAAAUAAACAUAUCUGCCCUUGUUGUGGACCCUACUAGAAUGUAGGCACUCCUGUUGUUGUUCUGUAUUAUUAUCACAAAUUAUUAUUUUUAUUUUUAUGUUGCACCCCCAGGGGGCAUGAGCUAGAGGGUUUCUACUUCUGUUAACAGUAAUAGAAACAAGACAAAAUAAGCCCUGAGGAGGUUGGGCCCUGACCGCAGGUUCAAAGUGCUUCCUGUUUGUGUCAUAGCUUUAGACUAGACUUGGCUUUGUCUGAACAAGCAAUUGAGUUGAGGAUCAAACAGCAUCAAAGUGUGGCCCAGAGGAGCUGCCACUCUGGCAUCUACCACAGAUCAGUCCCAGCCCACAGAAACCAGCAUGGGCAGGGAGGAUAUGGUUGGCUAGAGCCGUAAUGCUCUGCUUUGUUUUGUUUUUUCCAGGUGCUCAGGAUUCUCCCUUAAAAGUGUGGAUGAAGACCAUGUAAUUUAAUUAACCCACGUGCUUGGCUAAGGGAGACUGAAUAAGUAAUACAUCCUUCAAUGUUCCUUUGCUACUGAAUUUUUUAAGUAUUCAGACCAAAGAACUAAAUGGAGACAAUCCAUGGUCUAUAUCAACGACUGUGUCCUCCUAUCAUUGAAAAUUUGUUUGUUUCAAUCAGAAUUGAGAGCCAGACUUCUACAGAGGAGCUUAUGAGACAUUUACAUUUGAAAAUCUGGUGCUAUUUUCAUGCAGUUAUAUUUCCAAAAGUUUUAUUCACAAGGAAAGUUUUUUAAAAGUGUCAUGACAACACAGGGCUACAACUACCAAAAAUUUCCUUGGGAUAUUCAGUUAGUUUUACAUGACUUUUAAAAUUUCUAAUCAGUUUGAAAUUUGCCAACAUCAAUUCAUCUCCAAAAAGAGCAGCCAUGCCAAUUGGCAAAGACCAUGGUGAUUAGAUAUCUCCAUGUGCCAGACAAGAGGGGAGUUUAAACAAGAGAUUAACACCCCAAUAUUUACACUUAGAAUUCACUUGUAGUUCAUUUAUGGUAAUAAUAAAAGAUAGGAGGCUAAUAUCUGAGAGACUAGAAAAUUUCUUUCCCGUGAUUCUACAUUCCGUUUACUUGCAAAUCCCCAAGCGGCUGUUGGAACGCUAGCUGUGGGUUGAACACUGGGCCUAGGGAAUCACUGUGAAUUUGAAGUUGAGGUGCCUCCUGAAUUGCUCUACCACCUGAGGAUGACAUCUUGACUUUGUUUCCUGACUCAUAAAACAAGAAUAACACCAUUGCUUCAAGCCUUGGUUUAAAUGCACAGAUUGGUUCUUCACCAUGGUGGCUGUAAAACAUACUUCAUGGGAGCAAGAUCGAUACCAUUGUCCAACUCAACAGACUCCAAGUCCUUCCCAGUCAGUGUGAUAUGUCAGUGUGAUAACAUCUGGAGACAAGACUAUUACUUUUACUAUAAGUUAAUCACUCCCAUUCUCAGAGAUGCUUUAAACUAAUGAAGUCAAGUUGCAUGGAUGCAGUGUGACAGGUACUUUAGAGGUUACAUGAUAUCAAAGCCAAAAUAGAGAAGAUUCAAAUGGUUGGCCAGGGACAAUAAAAACUAGAGUUUAUCUCAGUAACAAAAGUGCAAAAUAUAUUUGUUUAGAAAGUGUGAGAUUAGGAAAAUGGAAAAAAAAUAUGAAUCAAUGACAGCAACUUACUGGGUUCUUCAGUUAAGAAUAAACACUUUGUGACUGAGAAUCCUCUGCUAGCACUGGGUUAGGUACAGUAUGUAUUUUUAUACUUUCACGUAGAAGCCCCACUGAGCUUCUACUAGGCCAGGGUAUCACUGUAUGGAUGAGAAAACCAAAACCCAAAGGAGCUAGGUGACUUUUCAGUGCCAUAUGUCUGGUAAGCAACAUGAGUGUGAUUAAAUCCCAAUCUGAAGUCAUCUCAGGUCCCCGUUAAUGUCAUCCGCAGUGAUUCAGCUAAGUGUCGCAGAGCACACGCACGGGCAGAACAGACAGGCUCUCAGCCGCUGCUUCUGAGCCUCUGGACCACCAUUCUAAGAGGUACUUCUCAAAGGAGCCCUAAGACUCUGCAAAGCAGUGGGUGUAAAAGGUGUGAACCCCCAGAGGUCAAGGUACAUAAUUAACAGCAAUAUUAAUACUGGCUUGUGAUCAGUUGAUGACAUAAUUUGUCAUUUUAAACACUAAAAAUAAAAACAACUCUUUCUCGCAAGUUGUUCCUUCCUCUAAUUGCUCCUUUAAUUUUACAUUUUUUUGGAACUAUUUCCAUCAUAAUUCUUGGAACUGGAUUAGGAGCCAAACUUGUGUCUUAUAAAUUGCAUGUUUAUGGUGGUAAUGAUUAAACAUGGUAAAUAAGCCUUGAAUUUUGCCUUUUCAAUUUCUGUCAUAACUUUCUGUUUAUCUUUUUUUUAACAGGGAUUUUUAAAAUGACCACAAAAAGGGGGAAAUAGUUUUUAUUUUCAUUUAAUUUAAGCAACUUAAGAGACCAGUUUUCCUUUACUGAAGAUACCAAGCAUUGACUUCCAGUUAAGAAGUCUAAAUUGUUUAAUUAACUUCAACAUACUGCCAAGCCUUUUGAUGUUUGUUAAGUAAGCCCACAGGAAUAAAGAAUCGUCUCUUGAAAGUUUAGUCAGUGUUUGACAUAAAGUGGGCAGCUGAGGAGUGGGAGUGGUGAAAAUUUAAGUUCAUUUAUCAUCUUGAAUUCUCUAGGUUGUAGAAGUGAUAGCAUUUGGUCAUUUUGGAACAGGGGAAGGAAUGGGUUUUCUGACUUUGCUUGGCUCAUUCAUUGUGCAUGCAUUACAGUCUGACUCUGAUGAUAUGACGAGGAGGAAUAACAGGUUUUUUCAUGGCACGCACUUUGUGCCUGGCACUGCUCUAAAUACUUUGCAUAUACUUAUUCAUUUAAUCCUCACAACGGUUCUAUGAAGUUGAUACUAUUAUAAGCCCAUUCUACAGCUGAGGGACCUGGAGCAGAGAUGCAAGCCUGGAACUGGGAACCAUGACAAGGCUUCCAGCUCCAGGGCAGUGUUCCCAGCCUCCCUGCAUGGAAGUCAGGGCCCUGGGUUCAGGAGCUCGGGAGCGAUGUGAAAACAAACACAGAUAAAUGAGACAGUUAGAGUUUAAUGCUAUGAUGGGGGAGAGGCAGGCAGGGCUCUCUGAAGAGCAUGGAGGAAAAGUCACUAUACUAGCCGGGGAGACAGAGAGGUGUCCCUGAAGAAGGGAAAUCUUGGCAGGUUCAGAAGCUUCAGAAGAGUUAGCCCUGCCGACUGGCACUGGCCAUGGAGCAGCUGGGGCCAUGGCUAGCAGGCCAUAAUAAAGAUAGGGGAGUGGAGGAAGAGCUCGGCCAGCUCAAGAAGCCACCCGUGGUUUGGUGUUGGGAGGUGAGGGCAGAUUUCAACAAAGGGAAUGGUAUGAAGGGAGGGACUCAAUCUACUCACGUGUUUAUUCAGAAGAUAUUUACUGAAUGCCAACUACUGCCCACACUGUGCCGGAUGCUGAGGAUAGAUCAGUGGACACUCCAGGAAGGAAAAAAGGAAAGAAGGAAGUGAGGGUUGGGCAGGGAGGUAGAAAGGAAACAGACUACACUCUUGCCUUCAGUGAGCUCGCAGUCUUCUCAGAGGGCCAGACUUGAAAUACUUAAACAAGGAAGCAAAGGUUUAGUUAGCAAUGGAGAAGAAGGCCAGGAAGGAAGAGAACAGGUGCUAGAAAUGAGACUAGCAGAGGAGACCUUCCUUUGGUACCAGGGAGUGCUCUUAGAGGAAGUAACAUUUCAGCAGGUCAAGCCACUUAAAAAUGAAAAGGAAUCUGACCUGCAGGAAGGUUGUAGAGAUCAGGAUAGACUGUAAAGGACAUUUUUCACACAUAUAUAAAGACUUCCGAAUUCAUCGUAUAGGCCAGAUACCCUGAUGGGAGACCAUUAAGCCGAAGAGUAAUCUAAUUAGAUUUGCAUUGAUACCCCAGGCUGGGGGCAGGGAAGCCUGAUUCAAGCCUGUAGUCUGUGGCCCCCACAACUCUACCAUCCGUUACAAGCAUGUUUCCUGCUUUGCUCAUGAGAUCCAGCUGUCUGGGUCACAGGAAUCUAAAUUCUACAGAUGCUUAGAGCAUGAAACCCACUUUUUAAGAUGAAGUUGGUAGGUAAAGUCUCUUUAGCUCCCAAACUUAAUUCAAAAUAAAUUCCUACAAGCUCUGUGAAGUUCCCCAGCCUGACUUUAUUGAGUUUUUAAUUGAUGUCAGAAUUCAGUGCCAUAAUCUACAGUUGUGGAAGCUACAAAUUCUUAAAUUAGAAAUACAUAAAUAAAUAAGUGGCAUUUUCCUCCCAGACUUGAAACGUGUAAAUGAGGUUGAUGAGUCCCAUUUACACAGCCCAUAACGACAACUCCAUCCAAGAUGCAAAAGGAAUGAAACACACAGUUUUUCCAUGUAAACCCUUGGAGCUCUAUGUUCAAGGUAAAAAUAACGAACUAAUUAAUAAGUAAAUGGAAGCAAACACUCUGCUGUCUUCAUGUUCUCCACUCCUAGGCAGCAAGCAACAAUGGAUUUGGUGUGGACAAGCUACAGUUCCAUCCAGACGUAUUCUUGUGAAUCAAGUUCAUGGUCACAUUCCAUGGGCUAGGAAACACCUUUGUGCACAUAUGGUUAUCUCGGCCCCCUCCUUAACUGCCCCCCGUGGCUGUCAAAAUGAAACUGCUCCUCCACCCACACAGAUCUAAGAUGAUCUUACACAGGUCAGGCAGGCACCAGCUUCUGGGCAAUCCAUUAACAAUGCAGCAAUAGCUAGAGCAUCUAUACCUAAACCAUAAUUAACAAUCAGACUUCACAGAUUUGGGCUAUAGGCUUUCCUGUGAAACAGGAUCACAGGAAGCAGGUAGGAUGAGAGAAUCACAUUCUUACAUUCUUUUAUUAAGGAAUUGUUGGGCUCAGUUACUGCAGCUGAACUGGGCUUCAGUGGGGUUGCAUUUGUCUUAGAGAAUCCGUCCUUCCCUGAUGCAAUGAUGUGAAGCCAGCCACUGUGACGUCUCUCCUGUCUCGGUUGGGCUGGGUGCCCCAGUGCCCUUGUUUCUCUCUUUGGCCUCACUUCUCCUUCUGCCCCUAAUCUCUGGUUUCUGUGUCAUGGCCUCAGCAAGGAUGUUUUGCCCACAAUUCCUUAUCCUUUCUCAUGAGGUUCUAAAAUAAUGCUACUGAUGGGACAUGUCACCUGCUAUCUGGUGCUGUUCCCAAUGGAGUGCUCCUGCGAUUGAGACUAUUCUUAUUUAUCCCUGCUUCACAGAUGAGAAUGUGGAGGUUCAGGGAAGUGAGUGGCUUGCCCAAAGUCAUGUGAACAUUAAGUGAUGGAGCAGAAAUUUGAACUCACUUAAGUCUGAUACCAAAGUCAAAGCCCUACUACUAUGCUAUUUUCCCCCCAGGUGUUACCUGGAGAUCCAGCCCUGUCCCUAUCCAAAUGUACCCAGGAGCUGCCAACUCAACACAUCCAAGCUGGACUAUUCACCUUUCCUACUGGUGCAAUCCAUCUCCGUCCUCCUAAGCUAGACAACUGGACUCAUUGGGAUGCUGGGUCUUGGCUCUGUGUUCCUUCAAACCACACCUUCCAUUGGUUGUCUUUCCCCCAUUGCCACUAUACUGCUCUAACUCAUGCCCUCAUCCUUGGAUCCAUGGGAAGCCACCCAGGUGGCACAGUUUGCUGGCAAGCAGAGUGGCAGAGGGAAUGAAUGGGUGGAGAGGCCAGAGUCUCAAUCUUGUUUCCGCCAACUGCAAUCAAGGGUAUAUUGGCAGGUUCUCACAUCUGUGGGAAGGGGGUGCCAUUAGCAGCCUCACAGGGAGGUUGGGAGUGUUCGAAAUAGCACAUUAGGGCAGACUCUGAGACGCACACACUCAUGAGAGUCCCGCUAAGCAGUACAAGUUCUCACUCAUCUCUUUGUGCCUCAGUUACCCCAGUCUGUAAAAUGAGGACAGUAGCAUGGGCCUCAGAGGUGGUGGGGGAAUUAGAAGGAUCAGCAUCUGGGGCCCAUGAAGGCAGCACCCAGCAUGCAGUGAGCACCAAGUAAGCACUGGCAUCCUCACCAGCCCUCCUCCCCCUUCUGGAAAAGCACAGAGCAGCCAUCACCAUCGCCUCCAUAUUGGUACUUAAUCAACAUACAUGGUCACUUUCUCUCCCCAGAAAGGAGCUGGGCUUACUCUUAUACUCAUUGCUUUCCUUCUCUAGCUGGCCUGCUGCACCACACACAGUAGGGCUUCAAAAAUACUAACUGGGUAUCUAUUAAGGGGU